AAUGGAUAUGCGGUGUUUGGAAUAGAUUAUGAAGGUCAUGGACGAUCAGCGGGUGCGCGCUGUUACAUCAAAAAGUUUGACAACAUUGUCAAUGACUGCAGCGAGUUUUUCAAGUCAGUUUGUGCGCAGGAGGAGUAUAGAGAGAAAAAACGGUUUCUGUAUGGGGAGUCGAUGGGAGGGGCCGUGGCUCUUUUAACACACAAGAAGGAUCCUUCCUUUUGGCAUGGUGCUCUUCUGGUUGCACCUAUGUGUAAGAUAUCUGAGAAGGUGAAGCCACAUCCUGUGGUUAUAAGCUUACUAACUAAAGUGGAGGAUGUCAUACCAAGAUGGAAGAUAGUCCCUACGAAGGAUGUCAUUGAUUCGGCCUUCAAGGACCCCGCUAAAAGGGAAGAGGUACGCGAGAACAAGUUAAUUUAUCAGGCAAAGCCAAGACUAAAGACAGCUUUGGAAAUGCUAAGAACCAGCAUGCACCUUGAGGAAAGUUUGCACGAGGUCACUGUACCAU
rnacentral:misc_RNA from 1 species